UUGGUAUGUGUCACUAAGUCUAAGUGAAAGAAGAACACUCAGAAUCAAGUGGAAGACAGUAUGUUUGAAGAUGUGUUGAUCAAUGUAAGUAAAAGAAGACAAUGUCUGACUGCAUGUUAGAACAUUAUUCGAGACAUGUUUCCUGUAAGAUCAGCAAGGAAGUGAAAUGGACAGUGUGAUCAACCACGUGUCAGUAGGGAAUGCAUAAAAGGUCUGUGAAUACUUUGAAUCCAUCUGAAUCUAUUCUAUUUUGCUUGGUCAACAAAAUGUGCAUCAUCUAGGAAACCUAUUUCUAAAUCCAUUAUCCAGGUGAAUCUUAUCUCUCAAAAGGUCCUAGAAAAGUCUAUCUAUGUUUGUUGAUGAUGUUAAUAAACCUACCAAACUCGUUUUGAUAA
rnacentral:lncRNA from 1 species